CGAUAACUCCGGAAUAGCCUUUCGAAAGAAAGAUUAAUACCGGAUGGCAUACGAAUAUCGCAUGAUAUUUUUAUUAAAGAAUUUCGGUUAUCGAUGGGGAUGCGUUCCAUUAGUUUGUUGGCGGGGUAACGGCCCACCAAGACUACGAUGGAUAGGGGUUCUGAGAGGAAGGUCCCCCACAUUGGAACUGAGACACGGUCCAAACUCCUACGGGAGGCAGCAGUGAGGAAUAUUGGUCAAUGGGCGAGAGCCUGAACCAGCCAAGUAGCGUGAAGGAUGAAGGCUCUAUGGGUCGUAAACUUCUUUUAUAUGGGAAUAAAGUUUUCCACGUGUGGAAUUUUGUAUGUACCAUAUGAAUAAGGAUCGGCUAACUCCGUGCCAGCAGCCGCGGUAAUACGGAGGAUCCGAGCGUUAUCCGGAUUUAUUGGGUUUAAAGGGAGCGUAGGUGGAUUGUUAAGUCAGUUGUGAAAGUUUGCGGCUCAACCGUAAAAUUGCAGUUGAAACUGGGAGUCUUGAGUACAGUAGAGGUGGGCGGAAUUCGUGGUGUAGCGGUGAAAUGCUUAGAUAUCACGAAGAACUCCGAUUGCGAAGGCAGCUCACUAG
rnacentral:rRNA from 1 species